rnacentral:rRNA from 1 species
UACGUAGGAUCCGAGCGUUGUCCGGAUUUACUGGGUGUAAAGGGUGCGCAGGCGGACUGGUAAGUCAGAGGUGAAAUCUCGUCGCUUAACGACGAAACUGCCUUGAUACUAUCAGUCUUGAAUCCGGUAGAGAUCUGUGGAAUUCCGAGUGUAGCAGUGAAAUGUGUAGAUAUUCGGAAGAACACCAGUGGCGAAGGCAGCAGAUUGGGCCGGUAUUGACGCUCAGGCACGAAAGCAUGGGGAUCAAACAGG